GGCCCCGUGGUGUAGCGGUUUAACAUAUUGCCCUGUCACGGCAAAGAUCGCCGGUUCAAAUCCGGUCGGGGUCGCCA
rnacentral:tRNA from 1 species